UUUAAACUGGAAGAUGAUGUCGAGAAAUUUUUUUGUUAUUCGCCUUUAAUCAAUUCUAAUAAAAGGAACCAAGCUAAUCUAAUGUACCCCAGGUAAAAAAGAAAUACCAUCAUAGACCAGUAAACUUGAGAGGACCAAGGACCAAGCUAUGAGGGACACCACAUGGCUUAACAGGUAAGGGUUGAGGUUGACUUGUUAACAGACAGAAGAGGUCUUGAGCCAUUAAAGAGCAGAGCUAGAUCAUAUAAUGUGAUUGUUUUAAUGUAGCACAGACUGUAUUCAGGGAAACCGUGACAAUUAGAAAUAGAUUAAUUUAUUAAAUUCUACAGACCAGCUCGUCUGUCAUUUGUGUCCCUCUCUUUGCAUGCUCCAUAAAGAAACCCACAUCCCUUUCUUUUUUAUUCAUGUGUCCAAUCUUUCUUGCCAGCAUGAGAAAAAGGACUCUGCCUCAGCAACAAGAAAACAUAAAACUAUCCUUAUCUGACCUUUUGAUUGCUUGUAUUUCACAGAUAACGAGAAGGAGCAUACAGGCAGCUCUAUCACCUUUGUUCUCUCAGAGGAAGCACAGUUUGGAAUAAAGGAGCCAGUCUGAGGGUGAAUAGAUGUGCC